GUGACGUAAAAGCCCUCAUAUUUGUUUUCAUCGAAUGUUUUUGUUAAAAAAAAGAAGGUUAUUGUUAAUCUCUGUGCAAAGAUUCAAGUCGAAAUGGAGGCCCGUUGUAUUUGGGGGAUUCAAAGAAUAGAAACUGGUACAAAAUGCCGUCCAGUGGUGCAGAGUGAACCAGGAGAAACCGAGCUGCUGAUACAAAAGCAUUUUUACUCUUGGGAAUAGAGCCACUCCAACAGAAUAGUGCUGUGACUGACAAGAGACCAGCCCGUCUUCACUUUCAGCUGUCAGAAACCAGAUCUGCAUAGCAAAGGCUCAGAGCUGCGUUACAUUAAUUUGACCUGAUCCGGUUCUCAGCAUGAGCUUCAACAGCUGCGACAGGGAUGCUCGCUGUGUCCUGACACAAGGUGCUGGUCAUUCUCCUGAAGUCAUAGAACACCAUUCCUUUGAGGGCCCGGUCCUUAGCAUCAUCCAGAAAGCAGCCAAUAUACGUGCCUGAGUAAAGAACAUCAGGCUGUGGAACCAGCGUCGUCUCAAGUGGCGGAUCUCCUGGUUUCGUGAGAUCAGCCAAUGCGGUCCAGUGUUGUCCGCCGAAAGACCACCUUGGUAGCCCAUCCCCUUCACGGUAAGCCG